UACUGGUGCUACUGGGGAAGAUAAAUUGUCAAAAGUCAAAAGAUGGGAUGGAAACCUUCUCUCAGUUCCUCAGGACAGAGUUCAGGGAGGAAGACAUCAAGUUCUGGUCGGUCUGUGAAUACAGAACCACUGAUCCAGGAACAGAGCUGCUGUCCAAAGCCAGAUCUAUUUCUACAGCCUUGAUGGAAGCAGAGGCCUCCAAGCAGAGUGUGUUGAUGUUCUACCAGAGCUUCCAGU